AUUAAAAGUUUCAUUUUGCAAUUCAAACUGCUGUUGUUGAUUGAAGUAAGAUGUUGUGUUCAUUUACAUCAACUAGUAUAUUUUUCAUUUGGUUUGUUGCACUGCCAUGCACAACAAAACCAAUAAUUGAUAAACAGGAAAAGGAAUUUACUGAAAAAGUAUCAAAAUUCAAGCGAAUUCUUGGGAUGAUUGCUGAUGGCUUGAUCUCGGAUAAGACAAAGCAUAUAUUAAUGGGAGAGUUGAUAGAUAAAUAUGAAACGGCAUUUGAAAAUUACAGACAGGAAUCUGAAAAACAUCAGCAGAAUUUCAGACAGGAAUCUGAAAAAUAUCAGCAGUUAUAUAACAAAACUCUUCAUUUGGAAGCAGAAAAAUUGGCACUUAAAAAGAUUUCGUUUCUCCUUGGAACGCGCACUCGAAUUGAAGAUUUAGAAAAGAAGUUGUGGCCGACUGAAUUGCAAGAACCGUAUAAUAGAAGCGAUGUUUGGACUAAAAUCCUGACGUCUGAAGACGAGGAAUUCGUCUUAGAUUCGAAUAUAAUUCAAUUUCGAAAGAUGUUAGCAGAUCAGGGGUUUUCCCUGAAUAUAGUUUUAAAAACGAUUACGAAUUUGUAUAGUAUACUAGAUGAUGAUUUUGCUCGUAAAAUAGCAUUUAUCGCAAAGAUUCCGAAAAAUAGGGAUGAAAUUGCUUCAGCAUUUGAAUCUGUUAGAUAUAUACCGGAUGCCGGUGAAGUAGAUUUGCUGGACAGUAUAUUGAAACCCUUACCAAGACCGAAGAUAUCCCCUGGAGAUAAGUUUAUUGUAACUCAUAUUAGUCCCAUCGAAUAAAAAUACAAAAACAAUUUGUAAAAA